GCGGAAGUAGCUCAAUGGUAGAGCGCUGGCCUUCCAAGCCAGUGACGCGGGUUCGAUUCCCGUCUUCCGCUCCA
rnacentral:tRNA from 1 species